ensembl:snoRNA SNORD10 small nucleolar RNA SNORD10
GCUCUAUGAUGAACCCCAUGCGUGUCAUCUGAGCCUGGCUUCCCUGUCUCAGCCCAGGUAGUGUUCUACUUCCCAGGGCUAUUGUCUGGCCUGGCAAGGGGGGUCCCUGGCAAAGGAUCAAAAUUUGAAUUCUGAGAGC